GCAGGUGAGGUGUGACGUGGGGAUCGACACUUAUCCUGGAAACUUUAGAAUUACCGUCACACUCACAGUCAGAGCGAAUGUAGUGGAGCACAAGUUAAAGUUUGAAUGAGUAAUCAAAAUCUAUUGGGAUAUUCCAUUACCACUAAAGCAGAUACUUUACAGAUGAAGUUACCAUCAGGAAAAGUAUGUGUUGCUUCUAUUGAUCAAAAAUAACAUUUUGUUUCUCUGCGUUUAGUUAUGCUCUCUCUCCUCUUGACAAUGGGCUACUCUAAUCUAGUAGUAGUAGUACUAGAACAGAGUGGAAGAAUUAGAAAAUAUGUAGUAUAGAUUAAAAGUUAGAAGAUUCUGGUUUUACAUUUUGUUUGGGGAAACGAAUUUUUAUUCAAAGCUUUUUUUAGCAAAAGUAUUUCCAUAAUUAGAACAAAGGGUAAUUAUAAUAUUGGGAAGGUGGCCCAGGGCCAACACCUCAGAAACUUAAGAGUUUUUUCACGGAAACCGUAAACCAAAGCAGUGGUUAUAUCAUUAGUAUUCUGAAAGUGAUGCAUGCAGCUUGAUUUUAAAUUUCAUUUGUAAUUGUGAAAUUGUCAUUUCUACUAAAGUGAAAUGGCUUAGAAAAUAAAUUAUUUAAUUUUAAAAGUGAAUGCAGAGGCUAAUAAAGAUUAAAUUUUGAGACUUAGAUACUGGCCUAUUAAAUAAUGCACAAAAUAUAAUCAUUAAUUACUUGUUUGGAGCCAAUAUGGACUCCUGCCAAAAAAUAAUAGCUCCCAAUCUAUUAAGUCUGCAAAUUUCUUUCUCUCUCUCAGGUGACUAAUUGGAAAUGAAUGAAGAAUUAAACAAUUCUUUAAAAUAUUUGAAUACAUUUUUCUUCUCUAUUUGCAUGGAAAGAUAAAAUGAGCACUCUUGAAGGCUAAUGAUGUUAGUAAUACUUUUAAAAGUUAAUGGAGCCACUUUUUUAUCAUCUUCCAUUUAAUUUUAAUAUUCUGUAUUCUUCAUAUUCAUGCUGUGUAAUGUAUAUGUGAUUUAGACAAUUUAGAGUUCUGUGUAAUUUCAAAACAACAAAUGCCAAACAUUUGAUCAUGUUUAGUAGCCCCCCCCCCCCAUCCCUCCUCUCUGUCUAUGAUGACUCUGUCUUUUUUUUACAAUUACAGUUUAUCAAUGUCAUUUCCAUGAUAAAAAAUCAUAAUACAUACUUGAAAUAUUCUAAACAAGAGUGUUUUAUAAGAUAGAGACCACAACCACCACCCUUCCAGUGGCUCACAAGUAAGCAUCAAGGCUUAUAAUGUUAAAAGUUGAUUUUGGCACUCAGUGUGGGCAGAACACAAUACAUUUUGUAGCUUUGCACUUAACAAUAAACAAACAAAAUAUAAGCUGGUAGUAACUUUGUAACUUGUAUUUUCUUUAAACAUAUCCCAGAAUUCAAUUGCCACUGAGUACUGGUACUCAGUCAGACUUUCUCACAAAAUAUGUUUUUCUCAGUAUGUACAUAAAAUUCAUUCUCCUUUUCUCUAUAUCACCAUUAUUCUUAACAGUUUACUAAAUAUGUGCAUGGUUGGUCCAGUGAAUCAAUGCUGUACAGGAGAAGUAAUGUUGACUAUAAUUUCAAAUUUAUUAUGAGUGCCUCCACAAAAUGUGGAAAGCUUUUAAUAAACAGUACAAGUCUGUUGUACAUGAAAAAAAUAGGAUGUGUAAUAAUAAAGUAUUUGUACUCAAGAUGUAUCUAUGAAUUGAUGACACUAGUCAAGUUGGAGUGCAAGGUUAUGUUGAUUGGAAGAAUAAAAAUACUUUUUUCCAUUGUACAGGGUGUAUUUUGUAUUUGCAUAACCUCUGAAACCUCCAAAAUGCAUAUCUGCAGUUUCUUUUAGUAUCCAUGUAUAUUGAUUCUAGUAUUUAUUCUACCACAAACUGUAGCUAAAUCAGCAAUGUAGGGUAAUAUGCAUAGUUGAUAACUAACAUCAAAUACAUCAUACCAUGUUGAAUGAUACUGUGCAGAAAGUCAAGUUAGGUACAACAACAAUUAUUCACUAAGGCUUAUACUGUUUCUUUGCCAUGUCCUUUGGAGUGAGGUCAUACUUAUUUCAAGAAAUGGUACAGAGACUUGCAUAGUUAAUAUGAGUUGGGGAUUUGUCUUCCUUGUAAAUGUACUAUAGUACAGGUUGACUUAGGUAAUCUAGUAUUGUAAGAAAUCACACAAAGAACUUUUGUUCUGACUUAAUAGAGUGAUAUAUAAUUAAUUUUGCUAUUGUUUUCGUCUUGUGUAGAUGUGAUUCUGGUCUGCUUCAGUAGUUAGCUCCAAUUUUUUGUACAGAACAUAGAAACUUAACAGUCUAGUAAACCGCAGUAUGUUUUGUUCUUGUAUAAAUAAAGACUGUUUAUUUGUACACCUGUGUUUGCUUUCCUUUUUCUUCCUUUUCAUGUUCAAUAUAUAUAUAUAUAUAUAUAUUCUGCUUAACUUACCAUAGAAUCUGUUGUGUAUAUCACAGAUACUUGGUACUUACCUGUUUUGGUAUCAGUGUUCCUUAAUACCAUGUUUUCACAGCAUCACUUCUUAAUUUUCAUUCAGAGGAAUCCCAGGGCACAGAGGUGGUGCCAGCCUUUUCCUGAGUGUAUCACGUGACUGCCUACUGAUUAUUAUAGAAAAGUUGAUGUGGUUCUCUACCAAUUUUUGCAGUAAAGUUGAUGGAACAGUAUUUAUUCUUAUAGAAAGGAUCCAGCAUUUGAAAUGCAAGAUAAAAGGUUCCAUAGUCCACUCUGUUGGAAAAUAGAGGAAAGAACUCCAGUGGAUCAAGCUCAUAUUUUACAGUGGAUUAAUUUUGUCAACCAUGCAUAUCCUUGCAUGGGUAUUGUGCAGUACAACAGACAAAUAAAUUAAGGCUACUGACCAUGCUAAGGACGAUAAAGGUUUGAAACUUUACUAGUUGGAGAAUGAAAUACUUGAGCAGAUAUUUCUGUUUGCUGCACUUAUCUCUUCCCUUAUGAACAUAAAUUUUCUCAUUGUCAGAACAUUCAAUAUGGAUGUUUUCAAGCAAGUCUAUUCCAAUGAAGAUAAAGAGAAGUCUACAGCAUACUUGCAGGAAAACUUGUCUGUUUAAUACUAUGAAUUUUUCUCCUGACUGGUGGAGUGGAAUGGACCUUAAUGCAGAUCACACCAAAUAGAAGAAUACCUUGCAUGAGAAAAUGAUUUGGGCAAGAAAUGUAAUCAAGGCAGGAUAUUUAAAUGAAUUGCACAUUUGCAGAGCAUCAUAAACAUUACUUUGUAUUAAAACACUAGAAUGUUGUUUAAUGCAAAUUGAAAAUAUGUACUGUACAUUAGAACUGUAGAAAGAUGCUUAUUUUGUAUGAAAACUUUAAAUAUUUGUUUAUGUUAAAAACACCAGAAUGUUAUUUAUAUUAGAACUUUAAAAAUAUGUGUACUUUAUAUUAAAACAUUUUGGAAUGAUCCAUGUAUUCUCACAGAAGAGUCAGUCAUUUACAGCUGUCUUACAAAUACAUUAUUGUGAACUUACAAGAAAACUUUCAGUCAAGCUAAUUAACUUAGAAAACUAUUAUGUUUAUGAAAGAAAUUCUCUGUCUAAUCUGCUGAUUGUACUAAUUUGGAAUAAAAAGAACUUGCAAAUGUU
rnacentral:lncRNA from 1 species